CUUUAUAAUGAGGACACAAUUAAUAUGUUCAUAUUUAUAUACUAAACUAAUGCCUCAGGUAACACUUUAUAAUGAGGACACAAUUAAUAUGUUCAUAUUUAUAUACUAAACUAAUGCCUCAGGUAACACUUUAUAAUGAGGGGACAACUUUACAAAAGGGGACUGACAUGACUCUGUUUAACUAUGACAUAACACCUGUCAUGAACAUGGAGGGGUCUUCAUGAAUGUUUAUGACUGUUGCCAUUAUGUGUCAUUCGCUAUAUUAAGUCAUUUUUAAUGUCAAGUUGACAUUGCUUGGGAUGUCUGUCUCUCUCUCACUAGUUAUCACAUGUGUUCUACGGUCAGUGUGUGAUAUGCAUACAGGAUAUUGACUAGUUAUUGAUGAUACAGUCAGUGUGUGAUAUGUGAUAAGCACCCCUACAGGUAGGUGUAGGAAGUACAUCAGCACACAGCACCCCUGCAGGUAGGUGUAGGAAGUACAUCAGCACACAGCACCCCUACAGGUAGGCAUAGGAAGUACAUCAGCACACAGCACCCCUACAGGUAGGUGUAGGAAGUACAUCAGCACACAGCACCCCUACAGGUAGGCAUAGGAAGUACAUCAGCACACAGCACCCCUACAGGUAGGUGUAGGAAGUACAUCAGCACACAGCACCCUUACUCUCCACUCC